CCCUAGCAAAAAGACGCGCAUCUAUUGAACAGAGGUGCAGUGCUUUGGGCUCCUCCGUUAGUGAUCCAGCAGUGUGUUUUUAAGGCAGAUGUCUACUUUGCUCAACUCGGCGGUUCAUUCUUGAAUAAUUCAGGAGGAAAAGCGCCUUUAUUACUUGAGAAAAACUGUUUUCAAGAAUGGCUCGGGCAUUCCCAUUAGAGACGAGAUUCGUUCUCCCAUCUGCUAUGCUACGUCUCAUGUGCCUGUGUUACACAUCAGACUCGGUAAAAAAACUACCGCGCUUCUGCAGGAGCGUUCAGUCGAGUGGAGAUUGCAUAGAAAAUGCAUUUUAUUUUGCUGGAAAGGAGGCACACUACGCUAAUCAGUUGUGCAAAGGGGCCAAUUCUACGUUGUUUCCAACGUGCGAGGAGUGCCUGACAUGGACCGGAAGAAGGGACAAAAUGUCCAAAAUCUGUGGAAACAAAAGAGAUAAGAUACCAGGAUGAAUGACAGCCUAUAGAAACGCUGAACAACAACUGCUUCGUCGUUCUCGCCGAAAUAUUCUUGAAUACUUGCAUUUGUCCUUAUGAAACACAUGCUUGAUUAAAU
rnacentral:lncRNA from 1 species